AAUGAACAUUGAUAUCAUCGAAUGCAUUUUCCUCAAUUCAGUUUAUUUUCCACAAACUAUAAAACUACAUUCUCUUUCGUGAGAAUUUGAAUCUAUUGCGACAGAAGAUGGAACUACAAAAGAGAACAGAAGUUUCAUCUGAUCAUCAAUAGGAAUACCGAUAUUCGUAAAUUGUAAACUUUUAAUAAACAUGAAUCACCCAGUCAAUUCAGUCUUGGAUUGGAGUAAAAGUUGUACUACCAUGAAACAGUAUUAAACAGAUAGAAAAACUC